GGAGUGGCGAACGGGUGAGUAACACGUGGGUAACCUGCCCAUCAGAAGGGGAUAACACUUGGAAACAGGUGCUAAUACCGUAUAACAAUCGAAACCGCAUGGUUUUGAUUUGAAAGGCGCUUUCGGGUGUCGCUGAUGGAUGGACCCGCGGUGCAUUAGCUAGUUGGUGAGGUAACGGCUCACCAAGGCCACGAUGCAUAGCCGACCUGAGAGGGUGAUCGGCCACAUUGGGACUGAGACACGGCCCAAACUCCUACGGGAGGCAGCAGUAGGGAAUCUUCGGCAAUGGACGAAAGUCUGACCGAGCAACGCCGCGUGAGUGAAGAAGGUUUUCGGAUCGUAAAACUCUGUUGUUAGAGAAGAACAAGGAUGAGAGUAACUGUUCAUCCCUUGACGGUAUCUAACCAGAAAGCCACGGCUAACUACGUGCCAGCAGCCGCGGUAAUACGUAGGUGGCAAGCGUUGUCCGGAUUUAUUGGGCGUAAAGCGAGCGCAGGCGGUUUCUUAAGUCUGAUGUGAAAGCCCCCGGCUCAACCGGGGAGGGUCAUUGGAAACUGGGAGACUUGAGUGCAGAAGAGGAGAGUGGAAUUCCAUGUGUAGCGGUGAAAUGCGUAGAUAUAUGGAGGAACACCAGUGGCGAAGGCGGCUCUCUGGUCUGUAACUGACGCUGAGGCUCGAAAGCGUGGGGAGCAAACAGGAUUAGAUACCCUGGUAGUCCACGCCGUAAACGAUGAGUGCUAAGUGUUGGAGGGUUUCCGCCCUUCAGUGCUGCAGCUAACGCAUUAAGCACUCCGCCUGGGGAGUACGACCGCAAGGUUGAAACUCAAAGGAAUUGACGGGGGCCCGCACAAGCGGUGGAGCAUGUGGUUUAAUUCGAAGCAACGCGAAGAACCUUACCAGGUCUUGACAUCCUUUGACCACUCUAGAGAUAGAGCUUCCCCUUCGGGGGCAAAGUGACAGGUGGUGCAUGGUUGUCGUCAGCUCGUGUCGUGAGAUGUUGGGUUAAGUCCCGCAACGAGCGCAACCCUUAUUGUUAGUUGCCAUCAUUCAGUUGGGCACUCUAGCAAGACUGCCGGUGACAAACCGGAGGAAGG
rnacentral:rRNA from 1 species